CUUUUUUUCUUAACUCUCUACAGAUUACCUGAAUGUUUAACAUUUCUCAUAACCAAAGAGGAAAGCACUGAGUGCCAGGAAACAUGUUGCUGAUAUUACAUACAAAGGCAGACAUUUUAAUAACGCAACUCAUACCAUCCAUUACCAAGAAACAAGGAAACACAGCAUUUUUAGAAUGCCAAAUAAAAACAGGUGGCUUAAGGAAUAAUGGGUAUAUUCACUGGUACCGACAGAAGCCAGACCAGCCUCUAAAACGAAUUCUGUAUAUUUCUUCAAAUGAAAAUGUGGUCCACGAACAAGAGGUUGAUGAGGAGAGAUAUGAAGCCAGGAAACGGCAGAGGGAUUUGUCAUCGAGUCUCAGGAUACACCGAGUUGAAGAGGCAGAUGCUGGGCUGUAUUACUGCGCCUGCUGGGAGAACUCAGGCUGGAUCAAGAUGUUUGCACAAGGAACUAAGCUCAUAGUAACUCCCCCAGAUAGAAGCCUUAAUGCAGACAUUUCCCCCAAGCCCACAAUUUUUCUUCCUUCAAUUGCUGAAAGAAGACUCCAUGAUGCUGGAACAUAUCUUUGUCUUCUUGAGGAUUUUUUCCCUGAUGUUAUUAAGAUAGAUUGGAAAGAAAAGGAUGGCAAAACAAUUCUGAAAUCGCAGCAGGGAGACACCAUAAAGACUAAGGACACAUACAUGAAAUUCAGCUGGCUGACCGUGACUGGAGUGUCACUGGAUAAAGAACACAAAUGUACCGUCAAACACGAGUGGAAUAAAGGAGGAGUUGAUCAAGAGAUUCUAUUUCCUUCACAGAAAAAAGAGCUCACUGCUAUUAACUCUAUGAAACCUUCCCUGAGAUAUAAAGAUGCCACCCUGCAGCUGCAGCUCACGAACACGUCUGCCUACUACACCUACGUCGUCCUCCUCCUCAAGAGCCUGGUCUACUCCGCCAUCACCGCCGUCUGUCUGCUCAGGAGGCCAGCGCUCUGUGGCAAUGGGAAGAGUUCCUAACACAUGGUGCACCAAGGACCCGCUUAUCUCCAUUGGCUAUUGUCCCUAAAAGCGUCUGCUGAGCAACUAAUGGGGGUUUCUCCUAAGAUUGGUGUAUUUCAGUUCACAUGUGUCUUUUUCUCUUGUGUCAUUUCUGCAGAACAGGUUUACAACCUCAGGCAAACAGAAACUUACACUCUGCAGCGAGAACAAAUGCUGCCAUGAAUCGGGGCGGGGGGGUGCCAGGGGACCAUCCAUAGGGGCACCGCUUUCUCCUUAGUGUCCACCAGCCCCUCAGCCACCCAGUCCCCAUGCCUCUGAGCACAGCCAACACACAGCUUCCAGCUGCGUCUCUGGGGUUCUUUAACCAGAUAAUUGCUUCAAAGCCAUUUAUUUUACACACCCAGACUGCCAUCAUUACUACCUGAAUUUUGUACUGCUUUACAUAACAGGUGCAAUAAAAACAAUCAAAAGUCUA